ensembl:lncRNA
CAAACGCAUGAUUGAGUCAUUUCCCAAGAGAGAAGCCACUAGCCAGAGCCACACACGCUUGAGGAGCCAGGGGUGGAGCUGUGUUCUCAGGCAUGCUGACCAGGUCGGAGCCAUUCUGUGCUCGGUAUAGAGGCACUGAAUGAAGAAAGGAAACAGAAUAAAACUCCCUUUAGCUGCGAAUGUGUUGGUGGGCACUCAAGUCCAGACUGACUUAGAGACACCCACCAGGGCCGCAGACUUGCCCACGGAAUCCCUGGUCCCUGGUCUCCUGGCCAAGGUGCUGAGCUUCGGAUUCGGUGUCCUUCGGUCUGCCACCUGGGCACUACCUGGUUCCCCUGCUCCAGCGGAAACCUGUGAAACCCUACCCCUACGCGUGGUCUCAGAACUCUUACACUUCUCUCAGGGUCCAGAAACUUCUGUGUUGUCCAAUUCAAGUGGUUCCUGCAACUCCUCCAUUUAAAGAGGGGCCCAGCUUAAUUCUUAGAAUAAUAAACUGUUUUGUGCUAUCCCGUCAUACAGCUGAGGAAACAGAGGCAUAGAGGCCAGGGCUCAAGGCUGGUAAGCAGCAGAGGCAGAAUUUGGGUGUGGAUGGCCUGGCUUCAGUCCCUGCCCCUGCCUGCUCUGCUGUGUUGCUCUUGGUCUGUGACACGGAGGCUCCUCACUUCUGCUCACCCCUAGGUAUAAGUAAGCAUAUCCCAGCUUUAAAAAAUAAAGUGCCGCUCUUCUUUUCUGGGGUACAGUGAAGGUUAUUAUUGUUGUCUAAUUGCUAAGUUGUGUCCAACUCUUUCGCAGCCCCAUGGACUGUAGCCUGCCAGACUCCUCUGUCCAUGGGAUUUCCCAGGUUUAUGA